rnacentral:rRNA from 1 species
CCUUCGGGUGGCAGCAGUGGGGAAUAUUGGACAAUGGGCGAAAGCCUGAUCCAGCCAUGCCGCGUGUGUGAAGAAGGCCUUCGGGUUGUAAAGCACUUUCAGUGGGGAAGAAAGCCUUGGGGCUAAUACCCUCGAGGAAGGACAUCACCCACAGAAGAAGCACCGGCUAACUCCGUGCCAGCAGCCGCGGUAAUACGGAGGGUGCGAGCGUUAAUCGGAAUUACUGGGCGUAAAGCGCGCGUAGGCGGUCUGAUAAGCCGGUUGUGAAAGCCCCGGGCUCAACCUGGGAACGGCAUCCGGAACUGUCAGGCUAGAGUGCAGGAGAGGAAGGUAGAAUUCCCGGUGUAGCGGUGAAAUGCGUAGAGAUCGGGAGGAAUACCAGUGGCGAAGGCGGCCUUCUGGACUGACACUGACGCUGAGGUGCGAAAGCGUGGGUAGCAAACAGGAUUAGAUACCCUGGUAGUC